UACAAAGGGACCAAAUUGGACCCAAGUAAAGUUAUACUCGUUGUAGAGUACAUUCUGCAUAACAAGGUGUACCGGCCGGCUUACAUAUAAGAAUCAAUUUGGAAACUGGCAAAAAAGAAGCAAAAAUUCUAGAAGAAAAUGAUGACUCAGAGGAUGACCGGAAGCAACAGCACCAGUAAAUGGAUAAAAAUGUUGCACUUUUAGUGGUAGCAGAAAGUUCUGGCAAAGAGGAAGAUAAGAAAAGCACAAAAAAAACGAAAGAAGGUGAAACAUUUGGAUGAAGCUUUACAAAGGAUAGAUAUUACAAAGGGACCAAAUUGGACCCAUGUAAAGCUAUACUCUUUGUAGUGUACAGUCUGCAUAACAUAACCUAACCUAGACCAUUGAUUAAUCUGCAGGCUACCCCAGAGAGUAGACACAUUUUAAUAAUAAAUGCAAUUUCUUUUAAAUGAUAA